CCUACGGGGGGCUGCAGUGGGGAAUAUUGGACAAUGGGGGGAACCCUGAUCCAGCCAUGCCGCGUGUGUGAAGAAGGCCCUCGGGUUGUAAAGCACUUUCAGUGAGGAAGAACGCCUGGUGGUUAAUACCCAUCAGGAAAGACAUCACUCACAGAAGAAGCACCGGCUAACUCCGUGCCAGCAGCCGCGGUAAUACGGAGGGUGCGAGCGUUAAUCGGAAUUACUGGGCGUAAAGCGCGCGUAGGUGGCUUGAUAAGCCGGUUGUGAAAGCCCCGGGCUCAACCUGGGAACGGCAUCCGGAACUGUCAAGCUAGAGUGCAGGAGAGGAAGGUAGAAUUCCCGGUGUAGCGGUGAAAUGCGUAGAGAUCGGGAGGAAUACCAGUGGCGAAGGCGGCCUUCUGGACUGACACUGACACUGAGGUGCGAAAGCGUGGGUAGCAAACAGGAUUAGAUACCCCUGGUAGUC
rnacentral:rRNA from 1 species